rnacentral:piRNA from 1 species
UGGUUCACUGGAUUGUCUGGGGUG